rnacentral:tRNA from 1 species
GAGGGGAUAGCUCAAGUGGUAGAGCACAUGCUUCGCAUGUAUGAGGUUCUGGGUUCAAUGCCCAGUACACCCU